AUUGAACGCUGGCGGCAUGCCUUACACAUGCGAGUCGAACGGUAACAGGUUAAGCUGCCGAGUGGCGAACGGGUGAGUAAUGUAUCGGAACGUGCCCAGUCGUGGGGGAUAACUGCUCGAAAGAGCAGCUAAUACCGCAUACGACCUGAGGGUGAAAGCGGGGGAUCGCAAGACCUCGCGCGAUUGGAGCGGCCGAUAUCAGAUUAGGUAGUUGGUGAGGUAAAGGCUCACCAAGCCGACGAUCUGUAGCUGGUCUGAGAGGACGACCAGCCACACUGGGACUGAGACACGGCCCAGACUCCUACGGGAGGCAGCAGUGGGGAAUUUUGGACAAUGGGCGCAAGCCUGAUCCAGCCAUGCCGCGUGCGGGAAGAAGGCCUUCGGGUUGUAAACCGCUUUUGUCAGGGAAGAAAAGGUUCUGGCUAAUACCUGGGACUCAUGACGGUACCUGAAGAAUAAGCACCGGCUAACUACGUG
rnacentral:rRNA from 1 species